rnacentral:rRNA from 1 species
GACGAACGCUGGCGGCGUGCUUAACACAUGCAAGUCGAACGGAAAGGCCCUGCUUUUGUGGGGUGCUCGAGUGGCGAACGGGUGAGUAACACGUGGGUAACCUGCCCUUGACUUUGGGAUAACUUCAGGAAACUGGGGCUAAUACCGGAUAGGAGCUCCUGCUGCAUGGUGGGGGUUGGAAAGUUUCGGCGGUUGGGUAUGGACUCGCGGCUUAUCAGCUUGUUGGUGGGGUAGUGGCUUACGAAGGCUUUGACGGGUAGCCGGCCUGAGAGGGUGACCGGGCACAUUGGUACUGCGAUACGGCCCAGACUCAUACGGGAGGCAGUAGUGGGAAAUAUUGCACAAUGGGCGGAAGCCUGAUGCAGCAACGCCGCGUGCGGGAUGACGGCUUUCGGGUUGUAAACCGAUUUGGACUGUGACGAAGAGUGAGUGACGGUAAUGGGUAAAGAAGCACCGGCUAACUACGUG